rnacentral:rRNA from 1 species
UACGAAGGGUGCAAACGUUGCUCGGAAUUAUUGGGCGUAAAGCGCACGUAGGCGGUAUUGCAAGUCGGAUGUGAAAUCCCUCGGCUUAACCAAGGAAGUGCAUCCGAAACUGCUGUACUUGAGUACGAAAGAGGAUCGCGGAAUUCCCGGUGUAGAGGUGAAAUUCGUAGAUAUCUGGAGGAACACCGGUGGCGAAGGCGGCAUCCUGGACCAAUACUGACACUGAGGAGCGAAAGCCAGGGGAGCAAACGGG